UUCAGGGAAAAACUGUUUUAAACUUAAAAAUUAAAUUUAUUUUAAUUUGUGAAGAAACAAUUAUUUAAAUUAAGGACAAGAAGACCCUAAGAAUUUUAAAAAUAAUAAUUUUAAUAUUAAAAUUAUUAUUUUUUGGUUGGGGCAACUAAAAAAGAUUAUAAACUUUUUAUUUAAUAAAAUGAUCCAUUAUUAAUGAUAAUUUGAUAAAAAUACUCUAGGGAUAACAGCGUAAUAAUUUUUGAUAGAACAUAUAGACAAAAUAGUUUGCGACCUCGAUGUUGGAUUAGGAUACUUUUUUAAUGAAGAUGUUAAAAAAAGAAGUUUGUUCAACUUUUAAAGUCCU
rnacentral:rRNA from 1 species